AGUGAACGCUGGCGGUAGGCCUAACACAUGCAAGUCGAACGGCAGCACAGAGGAGCUUGCUCCUUGGGUGGCGAGUGGCGGACGGGUGAGGAAUACAUCGGAAUCUACUCUGUCGUGGGAGAUAACGUAGGGAAACUUACGCUAAUACCGCAUACGACCUACGGGUGAAAGCAGGGGACCUUCGGGCCUUGCGCGAUUGAAUGAGCCGAUGUCGGAUUAGCUAGUUGGCGGGGUAAAGGCCCACCAAGGCGACGAUCCGUAGCUGGUCUGAAGGGAUGGUCAGCCACACUGGAACUGAGACACGGUCCAGACUCCUACGGGGGGCAGCAGUGGGGAAUAUUGGACAAUGGGCGCAAGCCUGAUCCAGCCAUACCGCGUGGGUGAAGAAGGCCUUCGGGUUGUAAAGCCCUUUUGUUGGGAAAGAAAUCCAGCUGGCUAAUACCCGGUUGGGAUGACGGUACCCAAAGAAUAAGCACCGGCUAACUUCGUGCCAGCAGCCGCCGUAA
rnacentral:rRNA from 1 species